rnacentral:rRNA from 1 species
UGGGGAAUCUUGCGCAAUGGGCGAAAGCCUGACGCAGCAACGCCGCGUGUGUGAUGAAGGUCUUCGGAUCGUAAAGCACUGUCGCGAGGGACGAAUAAUGUCCCGGCCAAUACCCGGGAACGAUGACGGUACCUCGAGAGGAAGCACCGGCUAACUCUGUGCCAGCAGCCGCGGUAAUACAGAGGGUGCAAGCGUUGUUCGGAAUUAUUGGGCGUAAAGCGCGUGUAGGCGGCCAGCCAAGUCGGGUGUGAAAGCCCUCGGCUUAACCGAGGAAGUGCGCCCGAAACUAGCUGGCUUGAGUACCGGAGAGGGUGGCGGAAUUCCCGGUGUAGAGGUGAAAUUCGUAGAUAUCGGGAGGAACACCAGCGGCGAAGGCGGCCACCUGGACGGAUACUGACGCUGAGACGCGAAAGCGUGGGUAGCAAACAGGAUUAGAUACCCUGGUAGUCCACGCUGUAAACGAUGAGCGCUAGGUGUUGCGGGUGUUGACCCCUGCAGUGCCGCAGCUAACGCAUUAAGCGCUCCGCCUGGGAAGUACGGCCGCAAGGCUA